rnacentral:rRNA from 1 species
AUGGUGGUGCUCAAGUACGCCCAAGUGAUCAAGGAUCUGGACAGCCAGGACAGGUGGACGUGCUCCUUCAAGGUCCAUGUCCUCGGCGACGACGGGCAGUGGAAGGGGACGAGGGACAUCGGCGAUGCCGCGUUGUUCAUCGGGGUGAACAACUCGAUGUGCGUGCCGACGAGGGGGCACCCGGAGAUCAAGGCCGGCUGCAUCUACUUCACCAACGAUGAACCAUGGGCCGCAGAGCUGCGCAAGACCAAGGACCUAUCAUCGUGGUCCAACAAAAGUUGCGAUGAUGAGCCCGUCGACUCCGACAUUCGGGCCCUCGGGGUGUACAGCCUCAGGGAUGACACAGUGAAGAAGAUGGAGGCGCUCGGGCGGCCGUACGGCAUGUUCUCGGUGCCGCCGGUGUGGAUCACGCCUUCUGUCCCAUGA